rnacentral:ncRNA from 1 species
AAAAAGUUUUAUUUUACCUUAAAAAUUAGAUUUUAUUUUAAUUUAAAUGUGAAUUUUUGUGUACAUAAAUUUUUAAAAAAUUUUUUUAUUGCAAUAAAUUGUAUUAAAUAUUAAAGAAAUUUAGAUUUAGUGAUAAUAAAAAACAUUAACAAAAUUUGUGCCAGCAGUUGCGGUUAUACAAAUAAUGUAAUUUAAUUUUAUUAGUGUUAAUUAAUUUAUAAUUGGAUAAUUGUAAAUAAAAGUUUAUAAGGUGAAAUUUAAAAUUUUUAUUUAAAUUAUAAAGUUUUAAUGAAGUUAAAAAAUUUAUAUAAUAAACUAGGAUUAGAUACCCUAUUAUUAUAAGUGUAAUUUAAAUAACUAAAUUAGUAUUAGUUAUGUUCUUGAAAAUUAAAGAUUUUGGCGGUAUUUUAGUCUAUUCAGAGGAACCUGUUCUGUAAUCGAUAAUCCACGAUUUAAUUUACUUUUUUUAUUAAUUUACAUAUCAUCGUAAUUUGAAUAUUUUAUAAGAAUAAUAAUAUUCAAGAUUUUUUAUAAAAAAAUAAAUCAGAUCAAGGUGUAGUUUAUAAAAAAGAAGAAAUGGGUUACAUUAAAUAUAAUUUAGGAUUUUUAUUUGUAAUAUAAAAUGAAUUUGGAUUUGAAAGUAAUUUUAAUUAAUUAGUUAAUUUGAUUUUAGCUCUAAAAUAUGCACAUAUCGCCCGUCGCUUUCAUUAUAAUAUGAGAUAAGUCGUAACAAAGUAGAUUUACUGGAAAGUGAAUCUAGAAAGUU